rnacentral:rRNA from 1 species
UACGUAGGUGGCAAGCGUUGUUCGGAAUUAUUGGGCGUAAAGGGCGCGUAGGCGGUUCGUUAAGUCAGUUGUGAAAGCCCGGGGCUUAACCCCGGGUCUGCAGUCGAUACGGGCAGGCUAGAGUUCGGUAGGGGAGAUCGGAAUUCCUGGUGUAGCGGUGAAAUGCGCAGAUAUCAGGAGGAACACCGGUGGCGAAGGCGGAUCUCUGGGCCGAUACUGACGCUGAGGAGCGAAAGCGUGGGGAGCGAACAGG